rnacentral:rRNA from 1 species
ACGAACGCUGGCGGCGUGCUUCAUACAUGCAAGUCGAGCGAGAAAGCGUCCUUCGGGGCGUUAGUAAAGCGGCGAACGGCUGCGUAACACGUUGGUACCUACCCCGCACUCAGGGAUAACCUGCCGAAAGGCGGGCUAAUACCGGAUAGUUCCCGUGAGGGUCAAGCUUCGGCGGUGCGGGAGGGGCCUGCGGCCUAUCAGUUUGUUGGCAGGGUAACGGCCUACCAAGACUAUGACGGGUAGCUGGUCUGAGAGGACGACCAGCCAGAAUGGGACUGCGACACGGCCCAUACUCCUACGGGAGGCAGCAGUGAGGAAUCUUCCGCAAUGGGCGAAAGCCUGACGGAGCGACACCGCGUGAAGGAUGAAGCCCUUUCUGGGUGUAAACUUCUGUUCUGAGGGACGAAAUUUUUGACGGUACCUCAGGAGAAAGCACCGGCUAAUUCUGU